CUGGGAUUGAUUCUUGGUGCAAUGCUAGGCUCAAGGGCAUUAGGAUUAAAGGAAACAAGAGGCUCAGAAAAUAAGAAAUAACUCUCCCAGAAUCAACUGAGCACCUGGAAAUUCUUAGAAGAAGAUUACUUCCUGAUGGGUUGGAUCAUAAUACUUGAAAAAUGAAUUGCUCUACUAGGCUGAGAGAGAGAGGAAAGAAGGGAGAAAGGGAAGGAGAGAAAAAAGAAAAUGAAAGGAAGAGAAGAAAAAGAAAGAAAGAAAGAAAAAAUAAAAAGGAGAGAGGAAUGGAAAAGAAGAGAAAAGAAAACAGGUUAAUUCAGAUGAUCGUCUUGGUGGUAAAUCUCCUGGAAUAAUGAAGCAUGUGACUAUAUUGAGCUCUUUUUAAAGGAAAAGCAGUUUUACUAACUGAAAACAUAGUUAAAUUAUUAGUAUACAACAUAAAAAUCACAAUGUGAAUGUACAAAUACUUGGAAAAGAGGUAUGUUCACGAGUUAAUCAUGAUUAAUAAAGAUAUUUAUUGCUUAUUUCCCUCUAUUUGUUGUGGGAAAGUGAAAUAGAAGUAUUCCACAAUUUUAAAAUGUCCUAUAUGGAG
ensembl:lncRNA